rnacentral:rRNA from 1 species
AUUGAACGCUGGCGGCAGGCCUAACACAUGCAAGUCGAGCGAGCGGCGGACGGGUGAGUAAUGUAUGGGGACUGCCCGAUAGAGGGGGAUAACUACUGGAAACGGUAGCUAAUACCGCAUACUAUCGGAUAACCCAUAUGGGAUUAGCUAGUAGGUGAGGUAAUGGCUCACCUAGGCGACGAUCCCUAGCUGGUCUGCGAGGUGGAUCAGCCAAACGGGGACUGAGACACGGCCCAGACCCCUACGGAGGCAGCAGUGGGGAAGAUUGCAAAAUUGGCGCAAGCCUGAUGGAGCCAUGCCGCGUGGAUGAAGAAGGCCCUAGGGUUGUAAAGUACGUUCAGUCGGGAGGCGUUCCCGACAGAAGAAGCACCGGCUAACUCCGUGCCAGCAGCCGCGGUAAUAC